AAGAUGAUCGUACUUUAAAUGUGGCAAAGAAACAGUGUGGCUUUUGUUACGAGUGCAGCACAAAAUAGCAGAGCUAGACCCGAAGAGGUCAUUUAUAUUGGAACACGGUCUUCUCAGGUGUAAUCAGUGGAAACUGAUGAAUGGAGACCAUUAUAACACUUUGGUGUCUUAUAAAACCUGGGAAACUUCAUAUAACCUUGGAAGAAAUCUCUCACUCUCAAUACCACCAAAUGACAGAAACACAGCUCCAAACUAGAGGUAUACCACUUUUGAAGAGUAACUCAAAGUAUAAAUAGCAUUUUGCAAACUGGAAGUAACCAUGUGACUAUCUAUUAGUCAUACUGUUGUUUAUUACAAUUUUCUUCUCGUCAAAAAAAAAAAGCUUGCCAAGGAGGAAGGAAGUUUGUGAUAUAACAAUUUAAAGCUGAAGAAUAAACACAUAUUUUCUUACUUUCUCAACGGGGAUUCUCAUCUGAACCACAGAACAUGAAAUUGCUCAAGUGGCUGUUUUUCUGAUUCACCCAGGAGUGGUACUUAACAUGUAUCCUUCCAGAACUGUAGGAGAGGCUGAUACUAAUUAAUUCAACAGCAUUCUUUAGGACAUUACUGCUUUCUUAUCCUGUGUUAAGAAAGAUCACCUUAAAAGCGAUAGAAUCAAAGAAAAAAGCAAUGUUUUAAACUUUGGCUACUGAAAGAAAAACAAAAACUAUUAUCUCUCUCUC
rnacentral:antisense_RNA from 1 species